rnacentral:rRNA from 1 species
GUGGGGAAUAUUGCGCAAUGGGCGAAAGCCUGACGCAGCCAUACCGCGUGUGUGAAGAAGGCUCUAGGGUCGUAAAGCACUUUAAGCAGGGAGGAAGGCCUAAAAGUUAAUACCUUUUAGGAUUGACGUUACCUGCAGAAUAAGCACCGGCUAACUCCGUGCCAGCAGCCGCGGUAAUACGGAGGGUGCAAGCGUUAAUCGGAAUUACUGGGCGUAAAGCGCGCGUAGGCGGUUUGUUAAGCGAGAUGUGAAAGCCCUGGGCUCAACCUGGGAACUGCAUUUCGAACUGGCAGGCUAGAGUACAAGAGAGGGUGGUAGAAUUUCCUGUGUAGCGGUGAAAUGCGUAGAUAUAGGAAGGAAUACCAGUGGCGAAGGCGGCCACCUGGCUUGAUACUGACGCUGAGGUGCGAAAGCGUGGGGAGCGAACAGG